rnacentral:misc_RNA from 1 species
UUGAAAACGGGUUGUUGCUGGCCUUUGAGGCAUGUGCACACCUUUAUUAUUUUUCCAACUUGUGCAUCAUAUUGGGACUGCUGUGCUUUUGUAAAAAGUUCGGCUUUCCCUUUUUAUUAUUACAAUCACAUUUGAAAUGUUGAAUGUAUAAGACAAAAACAAAAAAUAUA